rnacentral:rRNA from 1 species
CCGUAACUAUAACGGUCCUAAGGUAGCGAAAUUCCUUGUCGGGUAAGUUCCGACCUGCACGAAUGGCAUAACGAUGGCCACACUGUCUCCUCCCGAGACUCAGUGAAGUUGAAAUGUUUGUGAUGAUGCAAUCUACCCGCGGCUAGACGGUAAGACCCCAUGAACCUUUACUGCAGCUUUGCAUUGAACUGUGAACCGAUUUGUGUAGGAUAGGUGGGAGGCAGAGAAGAGGCCACGCCAGUGGCCUUGGAGCCGACCUUGAAAUACCACCCUGAUUUGUUUGCGGUUCUAACCACGGACAGUGAUCCUGUCUUGGGACCGUGCAUGGUAGGCAGUUUGACUGGGGCGGUCUCCUCCUAAAGGGUAACGGAGGAGUACGAAGGUACGCUAGGUACGGUCGGAAAUCGUGCUGAUAGUGCAAUGGCAAAAGCGUGCUUGACUGCGAGAGCAACAACUCGAGCAGAUGCGAAAGCAGGUCAUAGUGAUCCGGUGGCUCUGAAUGGAAGGGCCAUCGCUCAACGGAUAAAAGGUACUCUGGGGAUAACAGGCUGAUACCGCCCAAGAGUUCAUAUCGACGGCGGUGUUUGGCACCUCGAUGUCGGCUCAUCUCAUCCUGGGGCUGUAGUCGGUCCCAAGGGUAUGGCUGUUCGCCAUUUAAAGAGGUACGUGAGCUGGGUUUAAAACGUCGUGAGACAGUUUGGUCCCUAUCUGCCGUGGGCGUUGGAAGAUUGACGGGGGCUGCUCCUAGUACGAGAGGACCGGAGUGGACGCACCUCUGGUGUACCGGUUGUCACGCCAGUGGCAUUGCCGGGUAGCUAAGUGCGGAAGAGAUAACCGCUGAAAGCAUCUAAGCGGGAAACUUGCCUGAAGAUGAGUCUUCCCGGAGGUUGAACCUCCCUCAAGAGUCGUCCGAGACCAGGACGUCGAUAGGUCAGGUGUGUAAGCGCUGUAAGGCGUUGAGCUAACUGAUACUAAUUGCUCGUGAGGCUUGAUCCU